AGGGGAAGAACCUUACCCGGUUUUGAACUCCCGGGAACCUUUUUGAAAACAUUUCUUUCCUUCGGGAAAGGAAAAAAGGUGGGGCCUGGGUGUUGUUAGUUUGUGUUUUGGGAUGUUGGGGUUAAGUCCCCAAAAGGGGCAAACCCUAACCCUUGGUGCCCGCAGGUUAAGUUGGGCACUCUAAGGAGAUUGCCGGGGCAAACCGGGAGGAAGGGGGGGAUGACGUCAAUUCAUCAUGCCCCUUAUGCCUUGGGCUACACACGUGUUACAAUGGUGUUAACAAAGAGAAGCGAAGGAGCGAGGCGGAGCAAAUCCCAAAAACAAUGUCCCAGUUCGGAUGGCAGUCUGCAACUCGCCUCCAUGAAGUCGGAAUCGCUAGUAAUCGCAGAUUCAGCA
rnacentral:rRNA from 1 species